rnacentral:rRNA from 1 species
UACGUAGGGUGCAAGCGUUAAUCGGAAUUACUGGGCGUAAAGCGUGCGCAGGCGGUUAUGUAAGACAGUUGUGAAAUCCCCGGGCUCAACCUGGGAACUGCAUCUGUGACUGCAUAGCUAGAGUACGGUAGAGGGGGAUGGAAUUCCGCGUGUAGCAGUGAAAUGCGUAGAUAUGCGGAGGAACACCGAUGGCGAAGGCAAUCCCCUGGGCCUGCACUGACGCUCAUGCACGAAAGCGUGGGGAGCGAACAGG